CUCCACUUCUGACAGGUUUGGUGUUCACCCUCCUUGCUAACACAGCUGCACUCCUGCUUUGAGUGAUGUCUAGUGUUCAACAACGUAUUUUUGACACCUCCCACCUUUUAAAUAUGCCAGUAGUCAUGGUUGUGUUCAUGUGCUAAUUCUUCUGUUCUGAGAAGUGGUUAAUCUUGAUCACUACUUAAAUAGCUAUUAAUUGAGGAAAACUUUUGUGACUGAGAAAAACCUUGCACUUAUAACUGGACAGCUGCUGUCCACUGCGAGCUGGACCACAGAGACACUACUAAUGGUAUGUACUUAAAUAUCAUAGUGACUGCUAUUCUAUGAUAAUAUGGAAAUUCAAACAGCCAAGAGUCAAACCACCUGUGAGUUAGGAACUGUCUUACAUGUUUACACCAAAUGAUUGUGGGAAUUGAUGCAAUUAAGUAUUUUUAGAGUUUUGUUUAUUCUUCAGGCAUGUGAGGAAUUCAUGGGAGCAUUUGUGAAAUUGUCAUUUUAAUGUUUCCAAGAGUAGUGUAACACGCAGUAUGGGUAACGCUUACCACUUAUACAGAUCAAGAAGAGCCUGGGUUUAUUUCUUUGCUUAAACUUAGCUCAGAUGUAACUUGGAAUUUCCAGUAAGUGUUGUAGGGUACACCUCACUCCUGGUAUUGUAACAUCUUAGAUUGGUGUUCUAUGACAUUCAAAUAGCUGUUAUCCUCAUUAAGAAACAUUUUUUUCAUGUACCAUUUUCAUUACAGUUAUGAACUGUUUUGAUUUCAUGAUCAAUGGUGUCAUUUCCCAGUAAAAACACAUCAGCAACACUCAGUUUUGGUAGCAAGACAGAUAGCUGUUGCAGUGUCCUGUCCUGCUUACUGGGAUUUUCCCUGAAGGUGUACACAGCAGAUGCCAUUUAGAAAGGAUGGAAUCUCGAGUCUGGUGUUUGCCCUUUUUAACGUGUGAGUAAUUUCAUCUUUCUUAUUGCCCAUUUUGGCUGCUUAUUAUAAAUACAACCUUGUAUUCAUUGGUUUCUUUAUAUCUCAGAACAGUCAGGUGAAGGGAAACAAAUACAUCUUACAGUGUCUCUUUCAUAGUUGUCUUUAUUUGUAGCUGAUUGCUGUGGUUACUGGGGGGUUGUAAAACUGGCUUGCUGCUUUGCUAAAGAACGUUUUACGAGCAUGGGAAAAUUUUACAAGCAUAUGAAGUUUCAGUCUUAAGAUAAUCUCUGAAAAAUUAUUUGUAUCGGAGAAGGACAGGGGAAGAUUAUUCACACAUUGUCACAGGCAAAACACUCAUCUUGGGGGGGGAGGUAAUAGCUUAAUUUAUUACCAAUCAAAUCAGAGUAGGAUAAUGAGAAAUAAAAACAUAACGUCUUCUCCACACCCCUCCCUUCUUCUCAGGUUUAACUUUACUCCCGAAUUCUUUACUUUCUCUCUCCUCCAGCAGCAUCAAGGAAUAGGGCAUGGCUCCUUUCUCCAUCAAGGGGAAGACUCCUCAAACUCUUCCCCUGCUCCAGUGUGGGGUGCCUACCCCAGGAGCCAGUUCUUCACAAACUUCUCCAACAUGAGUCCAUCCUGCAGCUCUUCACAAACUGCUCCAGUGUGGGUACCUUCCGUGGAUGCAGUCUUUCAGGAAUAGACUGCUCCAGCGUGGAUCCCUUCUUGUGCACCCCCAGCCUACUCACUCAUGGGGUGAGGAGCAGAAAAAGUUUUGACUCUGUCAGCACUGCUCAGCACUUAACAAAAACAUCCCUGUGUUAUCCACUGUUCCCAGCACAAAUCUAAAACAGCCCCAUGCCAGCUGCUCUGAAAAAAAUUAACUCUAUCUCAGUCAAAACUAGCACAAUGCUAUUUCAAAAUUAAUGAUUGUGUAUUUAUUUCUAGAUGUUUAUAAGAACAGGAAUGCUUAGUAAUAUUUAAAGAAUUAACAUGGUUACAAACCAGGUUUCUCACUGGCUUUGAAAAAUACUCCAAACUGUUACUAAAUUUAAAAAGUACUAUUUUCUUGAGUGCUCCAGCCUUUUUAUCGGGCCUUUGAAGAGCAAGUUGGAUUACCCAACAGAUCGAUACAGUUCAAAGAACAAAAGCAAGUAGUUUACACUUAGCAGGUAUUGCAAAAUGAUGUACUUUGGUUAGGAAAGCAUGUUGACAAAAGCUCCAUGGCUGUACUUUUUUGUAAUGUUGUACAUCAAAGCAACAGUCAUGUAAAGAUUUUGCUAAAGUUAACAGGGUUUAUCAUAUUAAUAGUUGGAAAAAUAUUACGUAUAUCCUCUGAAAUUUUCAGUGGGUCUGGUGUUUAAUAUUAGAGGACAAAAUGUGUAAAUAUAUAUUCUGAAGUAUCUUGCUAGACAGAUAAAGCAUAGAGGGCUCAAGACAGAAACAUCAUGGUUCUACUUUGCCAAGGGUGAAAUGGAGUAAGUGCAGAAGAGUGGGCUGAAGCCACAGACUGGUGGUUCUGUCUAGCCUGUACUAGUAGGAACAUAUUACACUUACACAUCAAUUCAGAAAGUGUGUUAAAGCUGUCAGUGUCUUUUUUGGAUACAAAUCAAUUGUACACACAGAACACUGCACUAGGCAGUCAAAGAAAUAGGUAUCAUUUUGAUCAUUAAUAUAUAAGCUUCUAUUUUUAAUACUAGAAGAUAAAAGAAACCCAGAUUAAUUUGCAUUUAACAUACAGCCAGAACUGAUUUAACUUUGGCUGUUCACAUGUCUGUGUUUCUAUCAAGUCACUAGUCAGUGUCUUCACCUGUAAUGUUGGUGUAAUUCAAACACGUCACAGAACAUAGGAGUAUGAUAUUACAGCAUGGUUUUGCAGGCCAAAGCCUGUACAAAUCAAACACCUGCAUAAUGAACUAAUCUAUGCUGCACAUGCUUACGUGGCUGCAGAGAACAGGUUGCCAUCGUGCUUUAAGUUGUUUGCAGUUCUCUAGAACAGGAGAUGUGCCUGUGUAAGCUCCUCUCGCCACACCUAGUGAUGAUAGGUUUGGACUUUAAUGUGAAACUUGGCUCUUUCAACUGAAACUUAAUUCAUUGUGCGUAUUACAGGACACGUGUCUCAAUUUAGUCUUCCUGUGCGAGAUACCACUUGACCAUAGAUACACGAAUAUAUGUGAAGUCACUAAGAUUGUGCUGUCCUCUGAAACUGUGAGCUCAGGAGUUUUGUGUUCCAUGUUCUAAAGCACCAUACUUUUGAAGUAUCUGCACUGACAAAGAAGAGUGAUGUCCUUCAUCAAGAGAGAAAUCUUUAAUCUACACUUAUUAAAAAAAUGUAAUUAAAAAUUAUUGUAUUCCAUGAAAUUUAGUGUUCACAAAAAUAAGGUGAUUUCCUUACUCAUUUUUAUUGCUGUAGUCUUUUAUAUUUUCACAGAAAAGCCUGUUAAAAAAAGAUUGGCUGGUCAGAACAAGACUGGAAAAAUGGUUCUGACAUGAAAUUAAAACCUAAAAGUAGCUAAUUCCUUUGCAAGGAAUAAGAGGUUUUAUGCAUUCAUAGAAAAAGUAAGGAUUCUGCAUAAAUUUAAGAUUCUGUAGGGUAUUUUUCAGCCUCCCAAAUCCACCCCAUCCUCUCUUUAAUUUACUUGCAGGAAUUCUCCUAUCUUAAAAAUCAGAAAAA